AAUAAGUGCAAUUAUACGCUGUUCAUAUCCAACGUUUAAUCAUCCGUCUUAUUUGAAAUUUAUUUUAUGAUUAUUAUUUUUGUUGUUAUUAGAUGAUAAAACAUGAAUAGUACAUUAUGUGUGAUUAUUUUUUUUAAUUUUUUCGUAAUUUUUUUAAAUAAGACGGACAGUCAAACGUUGGACACGAAAAUCCACGACUGUAUUUAUU
rfam:Oryza punctata chromosome 2, whole genome shotgun sequence.